GACGAACGCUGGCGGCGUGCCUAAUACAUGCGAGUCGAACGAGAGCGACCGGUGCUUGCACUGGUCAAUCUAGUGGCGAACGGGUGAGUAACACGUGGGUAACCUGCCCAUCAGAGGGGGAUAACAUCCGGAAACGGAUGCUAAAACCGCAUAGGUCUUCGAGCCGCAUGGCUUGAAGAGGAAAAGAGGCGCAAGCUUCUGCUGAUGGAUGGACCCGCGGUGCAUUAGCUAGUUGGUGAGGUAACGGCUCACCAAGGCCGUGAUGCAUAGCCGACCUGAGAGGGUGAUCGGCCACAUUGGGACUGAGACACGGCCCAAACUCCUACGGGAGGCAGCAGUAGGGAAUCUUCCGCAAUGGACGCAAGUCUGACGGAGCAACGCCGCGUGAGUGAAGAAGGUUUUCGGAUCGUAAAACUCUGUUGUUAGAGAAGAACAAGUGCUAGAGUAACUGUUAGCGCCUUGACGGUAUCUAACCAGAAAGCCACGGCUAACUACGUG
rnacentral:rRNA from 1 species